UACAGAGGGUGCAAGCGUUAAUCGGAUUUACUGGGCGUAAAGGGCGCGUAGGCGGCCACCGCAAGUCGGUUGUGAAAUCUCCGGGCUUAACCCGGAAAGGUCAACCGAUACUGCGGGGCUAGAGUGCAGAAGGGGCAACUGGAAUUCUCGGUGUAGCGGUGAAAUGCGUAGAUAUCGAGAGGAACACCUGCGGCGAAGGCGGGUUGCUGGGCUGACACUGACGCUGAGGCGCGAAAGCUAGGGGAGCGAACGGG
rnacentral:rRNA from 1 species